UAACAAGGUAGCCGUACCGGAAGGUGCGGCUGGAUCACCUCCUUUCU
rnacentral:rRNA from 1 species